rnacentral:tRNA from 1 species
AGUUGUAGCUCAGCAAGGUUAGAGCACUCGGUAACGCCGAGAGGUCGCAGGUUCGAUUCCUGCCGGCU